UGGGAUUGGUAAACUAUGCCCUGGCUGAC
rnacentral:piRNA from 1 species